rnacentral:rRNA from 1 species
UUUCCGUAGGUGAACCUGCGGAAGGAUCAUUAUUGAAAUAAAUCUGAUGAGUUGCUGCUGGUUCUCUAGGGAGCAUGUGCACACUUGUCAUCUUUAUAUCUCCACCCUGUGCACCUUUUGUAGACCUGGAUCUCUCUCUGAAUGCUAGUCACUCAGGUUUGAGGACUGACUUUAUGUCUUUCCUUACAUUUCCAGGCCUAUGUUCCUUCAUAUACCCCAAUGUAUGUUAUAGAAUGUAAUCAAUGGCCUUUGUGUCUAUAAACCUAUACAACUUUCAGCAACGGAUCUCUUGGCUCUCGCAUCGAUGAAGAACGCAGCGAAAUGCGAUAAGUAAUGUGAAUUGCAGAAUUCAGUGAAUCAUCGAAUCUUUGAACGCACCUUGCGCUCCUUGGUAUUCCGAGGAGCAUGCCUGUUUGAGUGUCAUUAAUAUAUCAAUCUCUUCAGCUUUUGGCUUGUCGAGUGUUGGAUGUGGGGGGCUUUUUUUGCUGGUCUUCUCAGAUCAGCUCCCCUGAAAUGCAUUAGCAGAACAAUUUGUGGACCGUUCAUUGGUGUGAUAACUAUCUACGCUAUUGACGCAAAGCAGUUCGGCUUCUAACAGUCCAUUGACUUGGACAAAUUCUCAUUAAUGUGACCUCAAAU